AAGAGAAUCGGCAGGCGGUUG
rnacentral:misc_RNA from 1 species